AUGUAUGUUUGUACUUGGUUAUUAUCUAACAUUUAUGGACCGUGUGAUGGUCCUGAGAGGGUUGUUUUUACUCAUUGGAUGGAAGGUUUAAAUGUGGACGUGAACGAUCUGUGGCUUUUCAUGGGAGAUUUCAACUGCAUGAGAUCGUUAGAAAACAGGAAUCUUCGAGGUGGAAAUGUGGAUGAUAUCAUUAAAUUCAAUGAAAUUAUUAGUGAGCUUGCACUUUUGGAAAUUCCAAUUAAAGGAAGGAAAUAUACAUGGAGCAAUAUGCAGGAUAUUCCUUUGUUGGAACAAUUGGAUUGGUUCUUUUCCUAUCCUCAAUGGAUUUUGAAAUUCCCAAACACUGUGGUAAAACCUCUUGCAUGGCCAAUAUAUAAUCACAUUCCAUGUGUCUUGUCUGUGGAUACAGCUGUCCCUAAAAGUAAGCUUUUCAAGUUUGAAUUUUUUUGGCCGUCUCACCCGGGGUUCAUGCAAGUUGUUCAAGAUUCAUGGACAGCCCCAAUUAAAGCAACAUCUAGUGCCACUAAAAUCUCUGCUAAGUUGAAAAGACUAAGAUAUGCUCUGAAAAAGUGGAGUAAAUCCAUCUCUAAGCUCAAGUUACUCAUUGAAAACUGCAACAAAAUUUUAUUGCAGCUUGAUAAUUUGGAGGAUAUCCGUAUUUUAACCAUUCCUAGAACAAACUUCGGACUCAUUCUUAAAGGUCACUUGCUUCGAUUGUUAAAAUACCAUAGUGAGUAUUGGAAAAAAUGUUGGACGUUUCGGUGGGCUGUUUAG
rnacentral:rRNA from 1 species